rnacentral:rRNA from 1 species
GCCUAACACAUGCAAGUCGAACGUGAAGCCGACUUCGGUUGGUGGAAAGUGGCGAACGGGUGAGUAACACGUAGGAACCUGCCCGGAAGUGGGGGAUAACUCCGCGAAAGCGGGGCUAAUACCGCAUGUGGUCGAAAGAUUAAAGCUUCGGCGCUUCCGGAGGGGCCUGCGGCGGAUUAGCUAGUUGGUGGGGUAACGGCCUACCAAGGCGACGAUCCGUAGCUGGUCUGAGAGGAUGGUCAGCCACACUGGAACUGAGACACGGUCCAGACUCCUACGGGAGGCAGCAGCAAGGAAUUUUGCGCAAUGGGCGAAAGCCUGACGCAGCAACGCCGCGUGGGGGAAGAAGGCCUUCGGGUUGUAAACCCCUUUUGCGAGGGAAGAAGAUCUGACGGUACCUCGCGAAUAAGCCACGGCUAACUACGUGCCAGCAGCCGCGGUAAU